AACGAACGCUGGCGGCAUGCCUAACACAUGCAAGUCGAACGAGACCUUCGGGUCUAGUGGCGCACGGGUGCGUAACGCGUGGGAACCUGCCCUUAGGUUCGGAAUAACUCCCCGAAAGGGGUGCUAAUACCGGAUAAUGUCUUCGGACCAAAGAUUUAUCGCCUUUGGAUGGGCCCGCGUUGGAUUAGCUAGUUGGUAGGGUAAAAGCCUACCAAGGCGACGAUCCAUAGCUGGUCUGAGAGGAUGAUCAGCCACACUGGGACUGAGGCACGGCCCAGACUCCUACGGGAGGCAGCAGUGGGGAAUAUUGGACAAUGGGCGAAAGCCUGAUCCAGCAAUGCCGCGUGAGUGAUGAAGGCCUUAGGGUUGUAAAGCUCUUUUACCCGGGACGAUAAUGACAGUACCGGGAGAAUAAGCUCCGGCUAACUCCGUG
rnacentral:rRNA from 1 species